rnacentral:rRNA from 1 species
GCUAGGAUGAACGCUGGCGGCGUGCCUAAUACAUGCAAGUGAAACGGGUAUCUUCGGAUACCAGUCGCGGACGGGUGAGUAAUACAUAGGCAACCUGCCUUUAGUGAGGGGGAUAACCGAGGGAAACUUUGGCUAAUACCGCAUGAAGACUCUAAGGCAUCUUAGAGGGAUAAAAGUUGGGAAACAACGCAUGAAGAUGGGCUUAUGGCGCAUUAGCUAGUUGGUGAGAUAGAAGCCCACCAAGGUAAUGAUGCGUAGCCGACCUGAGAGGGUGAACGGCCACAUUGGGACUGAGACACGGCCCAAACUCCUACGGGAGGCAGCAGUAGGGAAUUUUCGGCAAUGGGGGGAACCCUGACCGAGCAACGCCGCGUGAAGGAAGAAGGUUUUCGGAUUGUAAACUUCUGUUAUAAGGGAAGAACGGAUUGGAUAGGGAAUGAUCUGAUAGUGACGGUACCUUAUUAGAAAGCCACGGCUAACUACGUGCCAGCCGCCGC